ACAACAAGUAGAACUAUUCAGAGGUUAUUGGGGCUGUCCAGUUUAACUCCACAUACUGUUGUGUUGAUGUAGCUUAUUGUCAAAACGUUCGCUUUCUUCCAAGUCGACUAUUAAACUAACAGCUCCACCAAAAACGUCACCGCGGUGGGUCCGUUUUAAUUGGAUAACGUUCAACUUGUCAGUUCUCAGCUCCACGUCCUGAUAUCAAACAUCUGGUAACAUUAAAACGGGAUGGAAACCAUGGUGCAUCCUUUCUUCUCCAAAGAGGGGACGGAGUGUCUUUCAAGCGGCAUGGUGUUGUUUACUGACAGAUAAAAGGAGGAGAGGAAGGCACCAAAGUUGAUGGUGGAUUGUUGUCAGACCCAGGGUAGCUGGUCUCUAGCCCAGAGACAGUUAAUGGAGGUCAAGGGGAAAUUAUGGGCGGAAAAUGGGAGAAGACAAGAAGUUUGGAUCUUAGCUGAAAGUAUAGUUUCUGAGCCUGAUGUGCUGACUGUAUGAUUAGACACAAUAUAGUAUUUACUCAGUAUAGUAGUAAUUAUUCAUUAAAACAAUUUGAUCAUUGGGAAAUGUGUUGGAAUGUUUCUAUUAUUAGUUGAAGCUGAUUCAUUACGACAAUGUAUGUUUCUGCUUGCAAACUGCUUUCAACCUUUCUCAAAUGGCUUUAUAAGUGAAACAAACUUGGAACAUGGAACUAAUGGUGUUAUUAAGAAACAUCCACUUGACUGGUAUUCUAUAAAUAGCAUGCAUAUCAGCUGAUGAGUAUAACAACCCCUUUGAUGGAAGGGCAAUUUUCAAAAGGUUUUUUUUAUUCUGUUAGGAGCAACAGGUAAGAGUCUGGAUUAGUUCUGAAGCACAGUAUUACAAAGAUAAAUGGCAACACACUGCAUCCUGCCUAUAGUGGUUGCUUACCUUCCCAGUAAACUGUGAAAAAAGUUUUGCUGUUCAUAAUUAAUUUCCAUUUUUCUCUAACCUCAGUUUAUAGGUAAUUUCCAUAGUUUGCCAAGAAGGAAACCAUCUGGCAAAGCCAUUUCACUCAUGAUUUAUGACAAACAUAGACCUGUAUGUGACCUGAAAGAAAUAUGACAUAAAAGAUUAAUUGUCUUUCCACUCAUUUUGUUUAUGUCUUAUAGUGCCCAUGUGGCCUAAUGUAUAUGGGCCAAACUAAAAGUAAUCUUAAACUAAGAGUGGCCGAGUAUAAGAUGGCCAUUGGGAAUGGUAAUAUGGAUUAUUAUUCCAUUGCUAGGCACUAAAGGGAGAAGAACCAGGUUCAGCCACUUCCCUCAAAUUCACUGGCAUUGAAAGAGUGUGACCCAAUCCAAGAGGGGGUAAUUUGAUUAACCAGCUCUUAAGAAAGGAGGCAUUUUGGAUUUAUGAACUGUACACAAUUGAACCUUAUGGACUUAAUGAAGCACAGGAUUUGAGCUGUUUUUGUGACAUUAAUGUGUUAACUUGUAUCUCCCUCUGAAGGUAAUUUGGACCCUUAGGGAGAGAUGAGACACUAGGUCCCCUGGCCUUCCCAUUUAGUGGUACCUAUAGGAUAUUUCAGCUGUACAUUUAUUAGUUUUCUUCUUGUUGUAUGUAAUGUGGUGUCAUUUUUGUGAUUCUGUUAGAUGAAUCACACUGAUUUUAAAUUUAUCUUGCUUUGUCUUUUGCAAUGUGU